rnacentral:tRNA from 1 species
ACCUAGCUGGCUCAGUCAGUAGAGCAUGGGAGUCUUGAACUUGGGUUUGUGUGUUCAAGUCCCAUGUUGGGUA